UAUUCAUAAAUUACAUGUAAUUAUACAAAAUAUAGCUAACACAUAACAAACACAGUGAUCUCCCCAGAAUUUUUUCUCAGGCUACUGGCACUUCAUGUCGAGGACACUGAUACUGCCAAGCACAGUUAAAGUACACGAAACAAGUUCAACACAGACAAGGAAUACUGCACUAUGGGAGAUAUCAAAGCAUUAGAAGAGAUUGCCCAGGCUAACCAUGAUGAGUUUGACAGAAGAUGGAAUAUUCCAGGAAGAGAUUGGGAUAAGUUUGUUGAGGACAUGUACUCAACAGAUUGCAAAGCCUUUCCUCCAGGAUAUCCUCCUGCUUUCACUAGACAAGCCAUUGCUGCAGUGUUUAAGACCUUCCAUGAAAGGCAUCAAUUGCAUAGCAAAGUACAUGAGGUGGUGAAGAUAGGGGAAGACUCCUUCCUGGCGACAUAUUUCAUCAAGUGUACAAUAGAUGGCAAGCAGGUUGACCAACUCACAACCGUUGAAGUAUGGCGCAAGGAGAAUGGACAAUGGCGAUUGCACAGAGAUUCUUGGAACAGUGACUUCCCACCACCAACAACAUCUGAUAAUAAAAGCUGAGAACAACAUCCAAGAAACAUUGAGGACAUAACAGUCAUGCACAUGAAAGGACUUCAGAAAUCUAUAUUAUGAAGAUUAGUAUAUCUAGUACUGCCACAAACAUCAGAGCGAGAACAACGAUACUUUUGGAACAGAGACUUUAUAUCAUAUACAAUGUACUACUAUGUAUUAUUUGAUAAUCAAUGAGGCUUAAAGGUUUGACCUAAAUCCUGUGGAUGCCCAUUUUAUUGACACAACACCCAGAAAUAUUGAAGAUAAUAAUACUGCAAAGUGGAAUUAUUGUCCAAUUUAUCAGAUUUCACCUUUGAAAACAGAUAUUUGGAACUACCUCCUCAUGUUCAGAUAUUUAUGGGAAUUUAUUAUUUUCACAUUAAAAUCUCUUGCCAACUUGCUAUUGUAAUCUGGAAUAAAUUAAAUCAAUAAAUAUAUAGUGUGUAUAUAAAAAACAUUGAGGAGUUCCCUUGUUAA
rnacentral:misc_RNA from 1 species